rnacentral:tRNA from 1 species
UAGCUCAGUCAGUUGGAGCGUGGUGCUCGUAACACCACGGUCGUGAGUUCGAUUCCCGU